rnacentral:rRNA from 1 species
ACGGGGCGCAGCAGGCGCGAAACCUCCGCAAUGCGGGAAACCGCGACGGGGUCAGCCGGAGUGCUCGCGCAUCGCGCGGGCUGUCGGGGUGCCUAAAAAGCACCCCACAGCAAGGGCCGGGCAAGGCCGGUGGCAGCCGCCGCGGUAAUACCGGCGGCCCGAGUGGCGGCCACUUUUAUCGGGCCUAAAGCGUCCGUAGCCGGGCUGGUAAGUCCUCCGGGAAAUCUGGCGGCUUAACCGUCAGACUGCCGGAGGAUACUGCCAGCCUAGGGACCGGGAGAGGCCGGGGGUAUUCCCGGAGUAGGGGUGAAAUCCUGUAAUCCCGGGAGGACCACCUGUGGCGAAGGCGCCCGGCUGGAACGGGUCCGACGGUGAGGGACGAAGGCCAGGGGAGCGAACCGGAUUAGAUACCCGGGUAGUCCUGGCUGUAAACGAUGCGGACUAGGUGUCACCGAAGCUACGAGCUUCGGUGGUGCCGGAGGGAAGCCGUUAAGUCCGCCGCCUGGGGAGUACGGCCGCAAGGCUGAAACUUAAAGGAAUUGGCGGGGGAG